rnacentral:rRNA from 1 species
GACGAACGCUGGCGGCGUGCUUAACACAUGCAAGUCGAGCGGUAAGGCCCUUUCGGGGGUACGACGAGCGGCGAACGGGUGAGUAACACGUGGGUGACCUGCCCUCAGCUUUGGGAUAAGCCUGGGAAACCGGGUCUAAUACCGGAUAUGACUCCAUGACGCAUGUUGUGGGGUGGAAAAGCCUUGUGCGGCUGAGGAUGGGCCCGCGGCCUAUCAGCUUGUUGGUGGGGUGAUGGCCACCAAGGCGACGACGGGUAGCCGGCCUGAGAGGGCGACCGGCCACACUGGGGACUGAGACACGGCCCC